GCCUGGGUGGCUCAGUAGGUUGAGCAUCUGACUUCAGCUCAGGUCAUGAUCUCACGGUCUGUGAGUUUGAGCCCCACGUCGGGCU
rnacentral:tRNA from 1 species